GGAGUAGAAGCACCGGCGAGUGAGGCCUACUAUCUCAGCUCCCCCCGUUUCCCUCCCCCAUGCCUCAACAAGCGUGAUAGUUGUCGCACUCCACAGCUGCUGGUUCACGAGAGAGAGAGAGAGAGUCCUGUGAUGGAUCUUCUUCUCACUAUAAAUAGGGCAAGGCACUUGAGGCCAUUCCAGCAGUAGCUAGCUCACUCCAUCGUCUGGCCAACCUUCUGGCCAUGACAUACACGCAUGGUUAAUUAGAUCUCGAACCCUUGUAUUCAUUCCCAUCCGUUCCUGCUUUUGGUCUUGUUCAUCCACAGACCACAGAGAGCCCAGCCACUACGUAGAUAGAUAGAUAGAUACAUACAUACUCAACGAACUGGCGGCGAGGAUCUGAGGAGAAUUAGGAAAAAAGAAGGGUAUGGAACAACCCUUGAAGCUCAGGAGGGAUAGCGCCUAGGAAAACACAUAGAUCGGAGCCGGCCGCGAGGAGAAAGAAAGAGCCAAGAGAUAUGUGUGAUGAAUAAUCUACAUGGAUCUUGGCUAGCUUUUGUGUUCUCCUCUGGAGGCGUGGUUCUGUCUAUCAAUCUGAAGCGCUAUCUAUCCUGAGCUCCACGGCUUGUUCUUACCACACGCCGGCGGCUGGCCGGCCGGCCGGCCGAUCGAUCGAUCGAUGGAGCUCCAUCCUCGCUCCCAUAUAUGAAUAAUGACCUCUUGCCGUCGUCUGCCUCCUGUUCCUGUACUUGUUGUUCUUGUGAUAUAUGCAGCAUGCAGGUGAGCGUGCGUGAGAGGUCGUACGUAGUCUCUCGUCAGGUACACGCGCGGACAUGUCCUCCUAGCUAGCUUUGCUUGAGGAAGUACAUACAUGAACAUCCCCAGCACUCCAGCAGUACGUGGGCAUUGCUGCAGUGUCCUGCUCCUGCGGCCGAGGCAGGCGAGCGGCGCGCGGGUUUCCAGAGGCAAUGCAAUGCAAGAGCCCUCGCGCGCCCACCACCACCAGCUUUCCAGUCCGGUUGACGUGCCUUGAUGACUGCCAUUUCAGGACAUGUAGGUAGGUAGGUAGGUAGGUAGGGCCCCAGAGCCGAGCCGGAUCUUCUACGCCGCCGGACAGCCAUACACCCCCGCGCUGCCCAAGUGCCCAUGCCGCCCAGUUGCUCACAAUCGCAAGCUCUCAUUGAUGGUGGCCAGAAACAAUACACUGAUCUCGUUCUUCUCGUGAGAGUUUUCAAUGUCUUUCUACUAGUACUCUACCACGUACUGCUGCUAGAGCACAAGUACUGCCGGGUGAUAUUAAUAAGAAUAUUACUAAUAUUAAUUGAAA